rnacentral:lncRNA from 1 species
CAAACACAGCAUUUGACUUCAAACUGUAGCCUACUUAUUUAGUUAUUUCUUCAUUUACAUACAUUUUUAUUAUUUCAAUUCAUACAUAUUCACACACACACAUACAUGUUUUAUUUAUUUUUGUGUUUUCUGAUAUAGGUGGAGGAUAGUCAUACGUGGUGGCAUUGAUGGGUACAGCUGCCUCGUUGUGUUUCUCCGUGCUUCCAGCAACAAUCGCAGCAGUACUGUAAUGGAUUGCUUCAUGAAUGCUGUCUCCAGAUAUGGCGUUCCCUCCAGAGUUAGGACGGACCAUGGAGGAGAAAACAACACUGUCUGCUUGUUGAAUACUACUUCUAUAAAUGAGGUUACACCUGCGGCAGCACCUAUUCCUGUGCCCCCCCCCCCUCAUCUUCUGCACCACUUCUUGUGCCCCCCCCUCCACCAGUGCAACUUCCUGUGGCCUUCCCUCCACCUAUACCACUUCCUGCGGCCUUCCCUCCACCAUUCCCUGAGGCUUAUCGUCCACCUUCACCACAAUAUGUGGCCUCCCCUCCAUGGAGUCCACUCUCGUCUGUUGAUGUUGGUAAUGACAAUGAGUAAGUCAUCCCUGCAAAUAAUUCAAUGUCUUGUUAUUACAGAUGAAUUGUGGGAAGUAGCUGAGCUUUGUUAUUCUGAAUGUCUCUUUUAGUGUUGACCUCCAAACACUGCUGAAGUUAAUGAGAUGCCAACCAAAUUAACGUGAUGAGGGACAACGUUUAUGAUUGUGCAAUGAGAGGCUUUACGAGAGCCCGCUUUAAUCCGGAGGCAAAAAUAGGCGUGGUUUUUAGGGAUGCUGACGGAAAAGGGGCAGCUGAUGAGGGUGGUCCCUCAAGAGAAUUUCUCCGGCUGUUAAUGAGUGCCAUCCAUUCCUCUGCAAUAUUUGAGGGACCUGAUUGGCAAAAAUGCCUUUCUUGCAUCGCUCAAGGUGAGUUACACUUUUACACCAACAAAGACACGUUUGUUUAUGUCAAUAUGUAUGACUUGAGUAAGACAUUUGAUUUUUGUAUUAUGUAAUGUGUCCUUUAUUUACUGUGUCGUCUGUGUGACAGCGCUCUAUGGUGGCGUAUACAAGCAGGUGGGACGCAUGAUUGCUGUCUGUCUGGUACAUGGGGGUGUAGAGACACCAUUUUUUCCAGAGAGGCUAUACAGGCAAGUGUGUAGACUACAACCUCCUGUGCCAGAACUGAAAGGAAUAUGACUUCAGAGAGAAGUUGAAGAUCCAGUUAGCACAAACUGUUGACGAGGCACAGGAAGCGGUCAUGGAGGCCUCCGAAACAACUGGUCAUGUUGGGUUCAGUGUGAUACAUUAGUACAUUGGAGGAGAGGGAUGCCCUGGUGGAGUCAGCCACAAAGUUCUACUUAGAAAGCAGGCUACGGGAUGCUCUUGAGCAGUGAGUUUCCAUAUUAUCUAAGGAAUCUCAUAAGCCGAGUUAAAUUCUUCAGGGCAAAUUCAUUAUGUGACUUUUUUUACUUUAUAGAUUCAAAAGAGGGUCUGGAGUGUCUACGUCUCCUGCCUUACAUGAAUAGACACUCAAGCCUCUUCAGAGGUUUUCAUCUACGCUGAGAAACCUCUUUUGGCCAAAGACAAAUCUUCUCUCUUCACAGCAAUGCUCUCCCCACCUGGUACCAAUCUCAGAGAAAUAGAGAGCAGAGUUAUGUUUCUGGAGGGUCUGGCUGCUGGAGGUGGAAGGUUAAAUGCAAAACCAUGAUCAAUCAAGUAACACGGACCACAUCAGUAAAAUAUAUCACCUAAACACUCUCACAACUGUGGGACAGUAUUUUAUAGCCUUAUUCUUCCAUGGGCCCCCCAAGAAUGUAAUAGAUCAACUAAAUCCCAAACUACUUUCACUUAGAGUAUUGUGUUCUCCAAUAAGUGUUACUUAUGGACUUUAAUGUCCCCCCUCCCCUUCCCUUCUUUUUUCAGAGGGGAAAGCAUACCCUUUAACCCUGGAGAAGAUUCUCAUUUUCACUUCCGGGGCUUCGGCCAUUCCUAGGCUGGGAUUCCCAGUGGAGCCACAGCUACAAUUCUUACACAAACAAGAGAAUGAGGCUGCCAGGAUGUUCCGGAAGCAAAUACAUGCAGCAUUGUUUUAAGGCUGCCAACACAUCCAACCCUACGCAGCCUUCAGGGAGAAAAUGGAGAGUGAAUUUUACAAUCACCAACAUUUAUUUUUUUGUAUGUAUUUUUCUUAAGUGCAUUGUUGGUUAAGGGCUUGGAAGUAAGCAUUUCACCGUAAUGUCUACACCGGUUGUAUUCGGAGCAUAUGACAAAUAAAAUUGUAUUUGAUUUAAAGGGAAUUCAUUUAAGGGAAUUAUCCAAAAUGUUUAUUGCAUGACUACGUAGUAAAGUUCAGAAUACUGCAGCCAAUGUUAAUUGGUGAUGUGUCCCAAAACGGUUGAUAUUAUGAAAGUUUCCAACAGGAUCGGCCAUCAGCAAAAAAAGUUGGACACAGUAAUACAAAAUGCAGCUUUAAUAAAUGUAUGAUUUCUUAGUGGGUAAACUGAGCAUUAUGCAAAGUAGUGUAUUUUUAUUACCUUUAGUUAACUAGGCAAGUCAGUUAAGAACAAAUUCUUAUUUUCAAUGAUGGCCUAGGAACAGUGGGUUAACUGCCUUGUUCAGGGGCAGAACGACAGAUUUUUACCUUGUCAGCUCGGGGAUUCGAUCUUACAACCUUCUGGUCACUAGUCCAAUGCUCUAACCACUAGGCUACCUGUCACCCCUAGUGUAUGUCAAGGGACUAUAAUGUUACAAUAUGUGCAAUGUUACCAUAAAUAAAUCUUACAGUAAAUAUGGACAUUUCAUUUAAAUGUGUUAUGGCCAUAGAAACAGACACUGUAGUUGGUACAUUGGUCGUGGUGCAGCAAGUUGAUGAGGGUAGUGGAGAAGCACUGGUGGGACUUUAUGAGUGAAGUGACUGGGGGCAGAAAAGGAUAUCAGGGUGCCCAGGAACUUAAAGCUGCUGAUCAUCUCCAUGGUAAUGUACAGUAGAUGGGAGAAUGGUCAUUAAGUCUCACCGUUUUGCUUACGCUGAGACUGUUGUCCUAUCACCCUUAUGUCAGGUCCCACAGCUCCUUCAUGUACUCAUGUGUACCAUGGUUGGGUCGGGUACAUUCUGGGGAUACACAUUCUUAUGAUAAUGUAAAAAAUCUCAUUUGUUAUUACUGGGUUUACACCCAGAGGCCUGAGUCUGCUAACCAGUUUGUGGGUCAGGAUGGUGUUGAAAGCAGAGCUAUAAAAGGAAACGCACUCUGACAUAUGUAAAAUGCAUAAUUGACAAAUGGGUUCGGACAACAGGCAAACUGAAGUUGGUUCAGUGAAUUUUUGCUACCAUGUGCUACACGAUAUCUAUUGUUCCAGUUUUUAAAAUCGAUAUCGACUGGGCUGCAGUGGAGAUGGUAAGAAGCUUCGGUAUCAUGGGGACCUUACUUCUAACGUUCUUUCCUGGUACACCCACACAGACACUGCAGUCAAAACUGCCAACCAGCGGCUCUCCAUCCUACGGUAGGUAAAGACGUUUUGCCUGACGUCAAACAUUAACAAGAGUGUCAGAUUGAAGUGUCUGGAAAAAUUCUAACAGAAACAUAAGAGCAGAUUCCUUUUUUGUCAUCUUUACUGGCACAGUGGUUUUAAAAUAAUGUUUAAUUGUCGUCACUUUCAAUUGAUUCAUUGACUCCAAGAACCAUAGAGUGUUUGUAGUUCAUAACAUUUACGCACAACUGAUAAACGUUGCUUGACAGUAGAUUGGGAUACAUGUUUUAAUAACAUUGGAUAUUUGAUUGGGUUUAAUGUUGCAUACCUUGCAGUGUUGUGCAUGCCAACCAGAUGAGAAUCACCAGAGUUAAGCGUGAUACUUGUUGAAUCAGGUCUUCUCUGCUGCUUUAUCAGCCACCCCUUGCCCACUCCAAGCUCCUCUUUAUGGUUCCCUUCUGCAAGACACAAUUGUGUGAAAAUAAAGCCGAAGGAAUAGGAACCCUAUUCCUUUGAAGCAGUACUAUAUCGUACUGGGUAUAUGCCGGAAGGUGUUAUUUUACCCUAAUAGGCUUCAAUGGGAUGUAAAUAUUCUGAAAACGAAGUGAACAUGCACAUUAAAGUAUAUUCUGUUCGAAAGUUGAUAUGUUGUAGAUGUUAGCAAAGGUUUUACAAGGUUGUCACUGGCCAAAUUGGCUUUGUGAGCUUUUCAGUGUCUUCAUGCUAAUCGAGAGGUAGCACGGCUAACGCUAGCAUUGAAAUGACAGCCAGUUAGGCUGAAGAAGUUGCCUACCUUCAGCUGUUGUUUAGCUUAAUUAAAUACAACAACAAAAAACAUGUCCUGCUUCAGUACUAGCCUAUUAGUCACAUUUAGGUAGCUUGUCCAAAACAGUCCAAAAAUCGACAACUAGCAGGAUUUUGAACAUUAUGUUUUUGGAGUAUCUCCAUUGUCUAAUCUAUGUAUGCCUGGCCCUGCAUUCAAGCAACAACCUUGCUAGUAUGUAAUUUACCUCGAUAGUAUUAACAUAGUCUAAUGUGUUUCCGUGGCUGUUAUGGUUGACAUGUUUUUUCAGCAUGUUUUUUCUUAAUAAAACACAAGACUGCGUUGUUCACUGCGGCUAGCAGUAUGGCCGGUCAGAGUUUGAGGCAAACUAAUAAUGGCUGGGGUUCGAGGCUACCGACGUUAGCUAAAUUAGCUAGCCUGUAUCUGACUUAGUUUAUGCUAAGCACUGCUGAUCCUGGUGCUAGAUUGUUAUCUGAAUUUUAUAGCCAGUGAUGAGAAACAGAUCCUUCCACUGUAAACUAGCUGAUAAGCUUUAUGAUUCAGUAACAACAAUUUUCAAAGACAAAAGUUAGCGUGUAUAGUUAG